rnacentral:rRNA from 1 species
GACGUAGGGCGCGAGCGUUGUCCGGGUUUAUUGGGCGUAAAGAGCGUGUAGGCGGCCAGAUAGGUCCGUUGUGAAAACUGGAGGCUUAACCUCCAGCGGUCGAUGGAAACCAUUUGGCUAGAGUCCGGAAGAGGAGAGUGGAAUUCCUGGUGUAGCGGUGAAAUGCGCAGAUAUCAGGAAGAACACCCGUGGCGAAGGCGGCUCUCUGGGACGGUACUGACGCUGAGACGCGAAAGCGUGGGGAGCGAACAGG